UACGUAGGGUGCGAGCGUUAAUCGGAAUUACUGGGCGUAAAGCGUGCGCAGGCGGUUCGUUGUGUCGGCGGUGAAAGCCCCGGGCUCAACCUGGGAAUGGCCGUUGAAACUGGCGAACUGGAGUGUGGCAGAGGGGGAUGGAAUUCCGCGUGUAGCAGUGAAAUGCGUAGAGAUGCGGAGGAACACCGAUGGCGAAGGCAGCCCCCUGGGCUAACACUGACGCUCAGGCACGAAAGCGUGGGGAGCAAACAGG
rnacentral:rRNA from 1 species